rnacentral:rRNA from 1 species
CCUACGGGUGGCAGCAGUGAGGAAUAUUGGUCAAUGGUCGGGAGACUGAACCAGCCAAGCCGCGUGAGGGAGGAAGGUACAGAGUAUCGUAAACCUCUUUUGUCAGGGAACAAAGACUGGGACGCGUCCCCGGAUGAGUGUACCUGAAGAAAAAGCAUCGGCUAACUCCGUGCCAGCAGCCGCGGUAAUACGGAGGAUGCGAGCGUUAUCCGGAUUUAUUGGGUUUAAAGGGUGCGCAGGCGGUCUGUUAAGUCAGCGGGCAAAGCCCGGGGCUCAACCCCGGCCCGCCGUUGAAACUGGCAGUCUCGAGUUGGAGAGAAGUAUGCGGAAUGCGCGGUGUAGCGGUGAAAUGCAUAGAUAGCGCGCAGAACUCCGAUUGCGAAGGCAGCAUGCCGGCUCCACACUGACGCUGAGGCACGAAAGCGUGGGUAUCGAACAGGAUUAGAUACCCGGGUAGUC